rnacentral:snRNA from 1 species
UGCUUCUACAAGCUGUCCUC